UACGAAGGGGGCUAGCGUUGUUCGGAUUUACUGGGCGUAAAGGGCGCGUAGGCGGCCACGACAAGUCACUUGUGAAAUCUCCGGGCUUAACCCGGAACGGUCAAGUGAUACUGUCGGGCUAGAGUGCAGAAGGGGCAACUGGAAUUCUCGGUGUAGCGGUGAAAUGCGUAGAUAUCGAGAGGAACACCUGCGGCGAAGGCGGGUUGCUGGGCUGACACUGACGCUGAGGCGCGAAAGCCAGGGGAGCGAACGGG
rnacentral:rRNA from 1 species